rnacentral:rRNA from 1 species
AUGAACGCUAGCUACAGGCUUAACACAUGCAAGUCGAGGGGAAACGGCAUUAAGUGCUUGCACUUUUUGGACGUCGACCGGCGCACGGGUGAGUAACGCGUAUCCAACCUUCCCAUGACUAAGGGAUAACCUGCCGAAAGGCAGACUAAUACCUUAUGGUCUUCACUGACGGCAUCAGAUGUGAAGUAAAGAUUUAUCGGUUAUGGAUGGGGAUGCGUCUGAUUAGCUUGUUGGCGGGGUAACGGCCCACCAAGGCAACGAUCAGUAGGGGUUCUGAGAGGAAGGUCCCCCACAUUGGAACUGAGACACGGUCCAAACUCCUACGGGAGGCAGCAGUGAGGAAUAUUGGUCAAUGGGCGAGAGCCUGAACCAGCCAAGUAGCGUGCAGGAUGACGGCCCUAUGGGUUGUAAACUGCUUUUGUAUGGGGAUAAAGUCAAUCACGUGUGAUUGUUUGCAGGUACCAUACGAAUAAGGACCGGCUAAUUCCGUG